rnacentral:rRNA from 1 species
GUGUCAGCAGCCGCGGUAAUACGGAGGACUCAAGCGUUAUCCGGAAUCAUUGGGUUUAAAGGGUUCGUAGGCGGGACAAUAAGUCAGUGGUGAAAGUUUGUGGCUCAACCAUAAAAUUGCCAUUGAUACUGUUGUUCUUGAGUCAUUGUGAAGUGGUUAGAAUGUGUAGUGUAGCGGUGAAAUGCAUAGAUAUUACACAGAACACCAAUUGCGAAGGCAUAUCACUAACAAUGUACUGACGCUGAUGAACGAAAGCGUAGGUAGCCAACAGGAUUAGAUACCCUGGUAGUCUACGCCGUAAACGAUGGUUACUAGCUGUUUGUUGCGUCUUUGACGUGAUGAGUGGUUAAGCGAAAGUGAUAAGUAACCCACCUGGGGAGUACGUUUGCAAGAAUGAA